rnacentral:lncRNA from 1 species
CCCAUAUAUUACCCCUUCAUGUCCUAAAGAAGACAUUUUCUCUUAGAGAUUUUCAUUUUAGUAUAUCUUUAAAAAAAAAUCUUGUGUUAACUUGCCUCCAUCUUUUUCUUGGGUGAGGACACCCAGGAAUGACCCUUUUGUGUCUAUGAUACUGCUGUUCACAGCUUUUCUUGAUAGGCCUAGUACAAUCUUGGGAACAGGGUUACUGUAUACUGAAGGUCUGACAGUAGCUCUUAGACUCGCCUAUCUUAGGUAGUCAUGCUGUGCCUUUUUUUUCCAUUGGUG